UACGUGGGGUGCAAGCGUUGUUCGGAAUUACUGGGCGUAAAGCGUGCGUAGGUGGUUCGUUAAGUCUGAUGUGAAAGCCCUGGGCUCAACCUGGGAAUGGCAUUGGAAACUGGCGACCUAGAGUGCGGUAGAGGGUAGUGGAAUUUCCGGUGGAGCGGUGAAAUGCAUUGAGAUCGGAAAGAACACCAACGGCGAAAGCACUCUGCUGGGCCGACACUGACACUGAGAGACGAAAGCUAGGGGAGCAAAUGGG
rnacentral:rRNA from 1 species